CCUGGCUCAGGAUGAACGCUAGCGGCAGGCUUACACAUGCAAGUCGAGGGGCAUCGGGAGUAGCAAUACUGCCGGCGACCGGCGCAAGGGUGCGUAACGCGUGAGCAACAUGCCCGUAUCAGGGGGAUAAUCCAUGGAAACGUGGUCUAAUAUCCCAUAGUAAUUAUGUAAGGCAUCUUAUAUAAUUUAAAGCUUUGGUGGAUACGGAUUGGCUCGCGUGACAUUAGCUAGAUGGUAAGGUAACGGCUUACCAUGGCUACGAUGUCUAGGGGUUCUGAGAGGAAGGUCCCCCCACACUGGAACUGAGACACGGUCCAGACUCCUACGGGAGGCAGCAGUGAGGAAUAUUGGACAAUGGAUGGAAAUCUGAUCCAGCCAUGCCGCGUGCAAGGAAGACGGCCCUAUGGGUUGUAAACUGCUUUUGUAUGGGAGCAAUAAGGGCUACGCGUAGUCCGAUGAGAGUACCAUACGAAUAAGCACCGGCUAACUCCGUGCCAGCCGCGGC
rnacentral:rRNA from 1 species